rnacentral:rRNA from 1 species
GUUCUUAAGUAACGGAGCCGUAGCGAAAGCAAGUCCAAAUAGGGCGAUUAGUCAGUGGGGGUAGACGCGAAACUUUGUGAUCUAUCCAUGGGCAGGUUGAAGGUGUGGUAACACACACUGGAGGACCGAACUCAUAAACGUUGAAAAGUUUUGGGAUGACCUGUGGAUAGGGGUGAAAGGCCAAUCAAACUGAGAGAUAGCUCGUUCUCCCCGAAAUGUUUUUAGGAACAGCCUCGGAUUUUAGACGUUUAGCACAGGUAGAGCUACUGAUUGGGCUAGGGGGCUUCACCGCCUACCAAACCCCUGACAAACUCCGAAUGGUGCUAAAUAUCUCCGGGAGUGAGGCUGUGGGCGGAUAAGGUCCAUGGCCGAGAGGGGAAAUAACCCAGAUUAGCAACUAAGGUCCCCUAAUAGAUAGUUAAGUUGAUCAAACGAGGUGGAGUUUCUAUAACAGCCAGGAUGUUGGCUUGGAAGCAGCCAUUCAUUUAAAGAGUGCGUAACAGCUCACUGGUCGAGAGACUCUGCACGGAAAAUAAUC